UACGUAGGGGGCAAGCGUUGUCCGGAUUCAUUGGGCGUAAAGGGUGCGUAGGCGGCGGUGCAAGUCGGAUGUGAAAUCUCAGGGCUCAACCCUGAAACUGCAUUCGAUACUGCCUUGCUCGAGGACUGGAGAGGAGAUUGGAAUUCACGGUGUAGCAGUGAAAUGCGUAGAUAUCGUGAGGAAGACCAGUGGCGAAGGCGGAUCUCUGGACAGUUCCUGACGCUGAGGCACGAAGGCCAGGGGAGCAAACGGG
rnacentral:rRNA from 1 species